rnacentral:rRNA from 1 species
UACGUAGGGUGCAAGCGUUGUCCGGAAUUAUUGGGCGUAAAGAGCUCGUAGGCGGUUUGUCGCGUCUGCUGUGAAAACUCGGGGCUUAACCCCGGGCCUGCAGUGGGUACGGGCAGACUAGAGUGCGGUAGGGGAGACUGGAAUUCCUGGUGUAGCGGUGAAAUGCGCAGAUAUCAGGAGGAACACCGGUGGCGAAGGCGGGUCUCUGGACCGAUACUGACGCUGAGGAGCGAAAGUGUGGGGAGCGAACAGG